UAGAGUUUGAUCCUGGUCAGAUUGAACGCUGGCGGCAGGCCUAACACAUGCAAGUCGAGCGGAUGAAGGAGCUUGCUCCUGGAUUCAGCGGCGGACGGGUGAGUAAUGCCUAGGAAUCUGCCUGGUAGUGGGGGACAACGUUUCGAAAGGAACGCUAAUACCGCAUACGUCCUACGGGAGAAAGCAGGGGACCUUCGGGCCUUGCGCUAUCAGAUGAGCCUAGGUCGGAUUAGCUAGUUGGUGAGGUAAUGGCUCACCAAGGCGACGAUCCGUAACUGGUCUGAGAGGAUGAUCAGUCACACUGGAACUGAGACACGGUCCAGACUGCAGCAGUGGGGACAAUGGGCGAAAGCCUGAUCCAGCCAUGCCGCGUGUGUGAAGAAGGUCUUCGGAUUGUAAAGCACUUUAAGUUGGGAGGAAGGGUUGUAGAUUAAUACUCUGCAAUUUUGACGUUACCGACAGAAUAAGCACCGGCUAACUCUGUGCCAGCAGCCGGCAGAGGGCAAGCUAUCGGAAUUACUGGGCGUAAAGCGCGCGUAGGUGGUUUGUUAAGUUGGAUGUGAAAUCCCCGGGCUCAACCUGGGAACUGAACGCUAGAGUAUGGUAGAGGGUGUGGAAAAAAUAUAGGAAGGAACCAGUGCAAGGCC
rnacentral:rRNA from 1 species